ACACGUAGGGGCCUGACGUUGUUCGGAAUCAUUGGGCGUAAAGGGCGCGCAGGCGGCCGUCCAAGUCCGGUGUUAAAUGGUCGGGCUCAACCCGAUCAUGCGCUGGAAACUGGGCGGCUUGAGUCCCGUAGGGGAUGCCGGAAUUCCAGGUGUAGGGGUGAAAUCUGUGGAUAUCUGGAAGAACACCGAUGGCGAAGGCAGGCCUCUGGGCUGACACAGAUGCGGCGUCGCGAGAGCGGGGGGAGCACACAGGAUUAGAUAGGCUGGUAGACCACGCCCUAAACGGUGUUCACUGGGUGUUCGGGGAGCGACCUCUGAGUACCGUAGCUAACGCGUGAAGUGAUCCGGCUGGGGAGUACGGUCGCAAGAUUAAAACUCAAAUGAAUUGACGGGG
rnacentral:rRNA from 1 species